AGAAACCAACAGGGAUUGCCCUAGUAACGGCGAGUGAAGCGGCAACAGCUCAAAUUUGAAAUCUGGCGCAAGCCCGAGUUGUAAUUUGUAGAGGAUGCUUCAGGGCAGCGGCCGGUCUAAGUUCCUUGGAACAGGACGUCAUAGAGGGUGAGAAUCCCGUAUGCGACCGGUUGGCACCCGUCACGUAGCUCCUUCGACGAGUCGAGUUGUUUGGGAAUGCAGCUCUAAAUGGGAGGUAAAUGCCUUCUAAAGCUAAAUACCGGCCAGAGACCGAUAGCGCACAAGUAGAGUGAUCGAAAGAUGAAAAGCACUUUGGAAAGAGAGUUAAAAAGCACGUGAAAUUGUUGAAAGGGAAGCGCAUGCAACCAGACUUGCCGGCGGUGUUCAACCGGUCUUCUGACCGGUCUACUCGCCGCCGGCAGGCCAACAUCAUUUGGGAGCGCCGGAUAAAGGUGGGAGGAAUGUGGCCCCUCGGGGUGUUAUAGCCUCCUACGCAAUACGGCGCCUCCCGAGUGAGGUCCGCGCUUCGGCUAGGAUGUUGGCGUAAUGGUUGUCUGCGGCCCGUCUUGAAACACGGACCAAGGAGUCUAACAUCUAUGCGAGUGUUCGGGUGUCAAACCCCUACGCGUAAUGAAAGUGAACGGAGGUGGGAACUUUUUGUGCACCAUCGACCGAUCCUGAUGUCUUCGGAUGGAUUUGAGUAAGAGCAUAGCUGUUGGGACCCGAAAGAUGGUGAACUAUGCCUGAAUAGGGUGAAGCCAGAGGAAACUCUGGUGGAGGCUCGCAGCGGUUCUGACGUGCAAAUCGAUCGUCAAAUUUGGGUAUAGGGGCGAAAGACUAAUCGAACCAUCUAGUAGCUGGUUCCUGCCGAAGUUUCCC
rnacentral:rRNA from 1 species